rnacentral:rRNA from 1 species
AUGCCGCGCCGUAGGGGAAAACAACCCCGCCGCGCCGCCGCAUGCCGUCCGUGUGGCCGCUCCGCCGCCCGAAAACCGCCGCGCCGCGCCGUCGUACAAUCCUCCGCCGUUCUACACGCCGCGUCGCGGGAGCCGGAGGUUUUGAAAGCUGAUGAGUUCAGCUUCCUCCAGCUGAAAAAUUCCAACUCACGCUUUCAAAUUUCACCUCUAUUUUCUCCUUAUCCUGGAUUUCCAGCUCCAGUGGGUGAGGAUAAGGGGGGUGAAGAGGUGGGAUUAAUGGCAGGACAUCCCUUUUUACAUGUGAUUUUUUGA